ACUUAAGACAGGCUGGGUGCCAGAUCUGGGAAAAUGAAGUAAAAUCACAGUUCUCCUUGAAGAGGUCCUUCACAUCCCUUGUAAGUUGGAUUCCUAGAUAUUUUAUUCUCUUUGAAGCAAUUGUGAAUGGGAUUUCACUCAUGAUUUGGCUCUCUGUUUGUCUGUUGUUGGUGUAUAAGAAUGCUUGUGAUUUUUGUACAUUGAUUUUGUAUCCUGAGACUUUGCUGAAGUUGCUUAUCAGCUUAAGGAAAUGUUUGUGAAAAUAAUAAGACCAAACUUAAAGCUAAUGUAAAAUAAAAUAAGCCAUUCCAGAUGUGGCGGAGAGGGAAAUACAAGUAACUUUUUGCUUAAAAAAAAAGACUGAUUCAUAAAACAUCCAUUU
rnacentral:lncRNA from 1 species